UACGUAGGGUCCGAGCGUUGUCCGGAAUUACUGGGCGUAAAGAGCUCGUAGGUGGUUUGUCGCGUUGUUCGUGAAAACUCACAGCUCAACUGUGGGCGUGCGGGCGAUACGGGCAGACUGGAGUACUGCAGGGGAGACUGGAAUUCCUGGUGUAGCGGUGGAAUGACGCAGAGUAUCAGGAGGAACACCGGUGGCGAAGGCGGGUCUCUGGGCAGUAACUGACGCUGGAGGAGCGAAAGCGUGGGGAGCGAACAGG
rnacentral:rRNA from 1 species